CCUGAGCUAUUUGGCAUCAGUAGCUGCCCCUGGUCGCUCCCCACCUGGGGUCGGACGUCAGAUGGGGCUGUGCUGGCCUGGGUGUCUUUGACCACAGAUGCAUUUAUUUUCUACGGAGCCCUCUGCGGUCUUAGCCGCGUGGCGGGUGUCCUCUUCCCAGGGCUAAACCACUGCUCAGCGCCGGCUUGCUUUUCCAGCCUGACCACCCCUCAGGGGGAGGAGGACCCCCAAACCACUGCACUUCCCGGGGGCAGAAACCCCUUCAGCGGCAGAGGAAGCCAAAAGACAGCACUGUCCCUUCUCGGCCCCCGUCUAGGUCCCUGGAGUUUUCCUCCUAAGACCAGGGCUUCGGCUUCAUGGGGCCCCGUCUGCUGGCCGAGGAUGCACACAGAUGGAGGACACAGCCCCGUCGUGAAGGGCCAGCGGAGGCACAGCAUCCUGCCUGGAGGGUCCCCAGCCUCUGCGGGUGGGACAGACGCGGCCUGGCCUCCAAGUCACCAGCGCGGAGCCCUGGCCGUCGCCUGACUCUGCUUCCUGCGCUGCUGGGCUCCAAGGCGGGAGACCCAAGUGCGGCAGAGUGGCCUGGAGGAGGUUUUGGGGUGACCUCUGC
rnacentral:lncRNA from 1 species